UUGCGAGGAUCAAUUUGUUUGAGCAGUAUGCAGGUUCAGCUGGGGUUGAACUCAAGCAUAUUAAUAUCUACCAGUUGGCUUCCUAGUAUCUUUUAAAUCUUAUGAUGCAGAACCUGUUUCCACUUCAAACAGUGGGGAAAACAAUAAGCCAUGAUGGUGCCCCUACCAGUAAGUAAUUACUUCUAAUUCCAUUUACAGUCACUAGAUCACAUCAAUGGUUUACCAUUUCAUAUUACAUUGCCUUUGAUUUGAUUCAUAUGUUACCUUUGGUUUUGUUCACAAAUUUCGAAUACAUAUAAUCUAAAUUUGAUUUAUACGUUGCCUUCAAUUGAUAGGCUGCCUUCGAUUCAUAUGUUGCUUCCGGUUUAUAAGCUGCUGGCGAUUCAUAUAUUGCCUUUUGAUUUAUAUGUUGCCUUCGAUUAAUACGAUGCCUUUAGUUUAUACGCCCUCGGUUUAUAUGUUGCCUUCGGUUCAUAUGUUGCCUUCGAUGAAUACGAUGCCUUCAGUUUAUACGUUGUUGCCUUCGGUUUACACGUUGCUUUUCGAUUUGUCUACGCUUGUUAGAGAAGGUAAAUUUACAUGGAUAAUGCCAUAUAUCCUACUGAUGCAAAAAAUAUUGUAAUCUGAGGGAUAGACAUAGAUUAAAUUUCAAUUCGAAGAUUGGUGCUCCCUCUUUUGUUGUGGUUGAAGUACCAUUUUUUAGUGUAUUAGCUGCCCAUGACGGAAAUCAAGCAUUCCUGAGGGAUAUGCCAUCUUCCUUUCUUCUCUCAGGUUUACAUCCUAUUUUAGUAU